UAUAUUUAGAACACAAUUAAAAUCACCCAGAACUAUCCAAGGCUUGUGCACACCAAUACCCAAGCCACACAGAUCCCUCCAUAGAUCCUCUCUUUCCUUGCUCUGAUUAAAAGCAUAGACAAAAGUACAGCAAAAAUCCACACUCCCACUUUUUGGAUAAACCAAACAAUGAAUCAAUUGACUGGUAACUUUCAGAACACUAAGAGUGAAAGCAUUUGGAUUCCAUGCUAACACAAUUCUCCCUCCCUUACAGCUGCUACUGUUGGUAGUGAAACACCAACCAUUGAACAUAUUAACAUAUAAGGCCCCCAUUUUUGUAUGAGGCACCUUUGUCUCAAGGAGACCAAUGUGCAACAGUUAUGAAUUUGUUUUUUGUUUUGUUUAAUCAACUUUUCUUUUCCAAUGUGCAACAGUGCAAGGAUGUUGAGAUCAAGCUAUCCUUGUUCAACUGCUUUCAUGUAGAUAAUCUGGCCGUAGUCUGUGGUGCUUUUUGUGCUAUAUUUGGUGCUGUUGCCCUUGAUUAUGGGAAGUCCGAUGCUGUUGCAAAAGUGUUCUUGAAUGUUCAUGCUCGCACUGGUGAAUUAGCUGCUGAUUUUUAGGUACUUAUCAUUUGAAAAGUCUCGGAUUGGGUUCCUUUGUCAGCAAGUAUUUAUUAUUGGCCUGGGCGCUUGAUCGAGGCUGUUUAGUUGUUAUAGAACAAUUUUUAUAUUAAAAUGUAUGCGUACGUUGAAAUUGGAACAUAUAUUUAAAUGUAGUACGUGCACUUUGGUUUUGGGAUAUAUAUAUAUGCAAAAU